UACAGAGGGUGCAAGCGUUAAUCGGAAUUACUGGGCGUAAAGCGCGUGUAGGUGGUUUGCUAAGUCAGGUGUGAAAUCCUCGGGCUCAACCCGAGAACUGCAUUUGAUACUGGCAAGCUAGAGUGUGGUAGAGGAUAGUGGAAUUCCCGGUGUAGCGGUGAAAUGCGUAGAUAUCGGGAGGAACAUCAGUGGCGAAGGCGGCUAUCUGGACUAACACUGACACUGAGACUCGAAAGCGUGGGGAGCAAACAGG
rnacentral:rRNA from 1 species